UUUGCCUACGGGACGCAGCAGUGGGGGAUAUUGCACAAUGGAGGAAACCCUGAUGCAGCGAUGCCGCGUGAAUGAAGACGGCCUUCGGGUUGUAAAGUUCUGUCGCAGGGGACGAAAAUGACGGUACCCUGCAAGAAAGCUCCGGCUAACUACGUGCCAGCAGCCGCGGUAAUACGUAGGGAGCAAGCGUUGUCCGGAAUUACUGGGUGUAAAGGGAGCGUAGGCGGGAGGAUAAGUUGAAUGUGAAAUCUUUGGGCUCAACCCAUAGCUGCGUUCAAAACUGUUGUUCUUGAGUGAAGUAGAGG
rnacentral:rRNA from 1 species